UCCUUAGAUGUUCUGGGCCGCACGCGCGCUACACUGAUGCAUUCAACGAGUCCAACCUUGACCGAGAGGUCCGGGUAAUCUUUGAAACUGCAUCGUGAUGGGGCUAGAUUAUUGCAAUUAUUAAUCUUCAACGAGGAAUGCCUAGUAAGCGUGAUUCAUCAAAUCGCGUUGAUUACGUCCCUGCCCUUUGUACACACCGCCCGUCGCUCCUACCGAUUGAGUGUGUUGGUGAGGAGUUUGGAUUGGCCUCGGAAGGUGGUUCGCCACCGUCCGUAGCUGAGAAGUUCUCCAAACCGCCCCACUUAGAGGAAGGAGAAGUCGUAACA
rnacentral:rRNA from 1 species